rnacentral:rRNA from 1 species
GAUGAACGCUGGCGGCGUGCUUAACACAUGCAAGUCGAACGGAAAGGCUCCUGCUUGCAGGGGUACUCGAGUGGCGAACGGGUGAGUAACACGUGGGUGAUCUGCCCUGCACUUCGGGAUAAGCCUGGGAAACUGGGUCUAAUACCGGAUAGGACCACAUUUUGGAUGGUGUGGUGGAAAGUUUUUCGGUGUGGGAUGAGCUCGCGGCCUAUCAGCUUGUUGGUGGGGUAAUGGCCUACCAAGGCGUCGACGGGUAGCCGGCCUGAGAGGGUGUACGGCCACAUUGGAACCGAGAGACGGCCCAGACUCCUACGGGAGGCAGCAGUGGGGAAUAUUGCACAAUGGGCGCAAGCCUGAGGCAGCGACGCCGCGUGGGGGAUGACGGCCUUCGUGUUGUAAACACCUUUCGCUAGGGACGAAGCGUUUUUGUGACGGUACCUGGAGAAGAAGCACCGGCUAACUACGUG